rnacentral:rRNA from 1 species
GAUGAACGCUGACAGAAUGCUUAACACAUGCAAGUCAACUUGAAUUUGGGUUUUUAACUUAGAUUUGGGUGGCGGACGGGUGAGUAACGCGUAAAGAACUUGCCCCACAGCUAGGGACAACAUUUAGAAAUGAAUGCUAAUACCUGAUAUUAUGAUUUUAAGGCAUCUUAGAAUUAUGAAAGCUAUAAGCACUGUGAGAGAGCUUUGCGUCCCAUUAGCUAGUUGGAGAGGUAACAGCUCACCAAGGCGAUGAUGGGUAGCCGGCCUGAGAGGGUGAACGGCCACAAGGGGACUGAGACACGGCCCUUACUCCUACGGGAGGCAGCAGUGGGGAAUAUUGGACAAUGGACCGAGAGUCUGAUCCAGCAAUUCUGUGUGCAGGAUGAAGUUUUUCGGAAUGUAAAGUGCUUUCAGUUGGGAAGAAAAAAAUGACGGUACCAACAGAAGAAGUGACGGCUAAAUACGUGCCAGCAGCCGCGGUAAUACGUAUGUCGCGAGCGUUAUCCGGAAUUAUUGGGCAUAAAGGGCAUCUAGGCGGCCGGGUAAGUCCGGGGUGAAAACUGCUGGCUCAACCAGCAGCCUGCCUUGGAAACUACCCGGCUUGAGUGCCGGAGAGGUGGACGGAACUGCACGAGUAGAGGUGAAAUUCGUAGAUAUGUGCAGGAAUGCCGAUGAUGAAGAUAGUUCACUGGACGGCAACUGACGCUGAAGUGCGAAAGCUAGGGGAGCGAACAGG